rnacentral:misc_RNA from 1 species
AGAAAAAAAAAAUAUUUUCUCUAUUGCCAUAUUAGUUUAAUUUGUUGCUAGUGCUUGGCUUUUGAUUGUACGUAGAACCGCCAAUUAUUUGCGUUUGUCUUCUUCCUUUAGUUUGUAAUUUGUGUAGGAUUUUUAUGAUAAAAAAGGGUCUUUAGUCAUUCACCACCUUGUUAAUACAAAGUUAGUGAAGUAUUUUUGUUUAAGAAAAAGACAUCAAUCAAUCAAUGAAAGCAUAAUAUGGAGGAAAAAUAAAAAGAAAAGGAUCUUUGAAAGUUAGUGGGUUUUGCACUCUAGUUGGCCAGAAAUACCCUUUUUUUAUGGUCCCUUCUUGAGAUGCCAAAGUAGAAAGGCGGAGAUAGAAGUGUAAACGAUUCAAGCAAGUUAUGCUUUAAAGGGUUUAAGUUUGGGUUAUUAAUUUUUUUUUU